GUCCCUGCAGCCUCAGUUCAGGGCUGUUAGUGUGCAACUGGAGACUCAGAAGCACUGCGGUGUCAACAGGGUGACUUUGUAUUUGGCUUUUCCCACUCUUAUGCGCGUAGGAAGACUGUGCUCCGUCUAGAAGUCAGUCCAAAAUGCAGCGCGUAUGUGGAAUAUGGGAAAAUCACAGGUAAAGCUGUGUGUGUAAUUUCGGUGGCGGAUCCAGAUCUAGAUUGAUGUUUCAUGUAGAAACAAGCUCUACAGGUGGUGUGGACACUUCAUUGACAGGAAAAAUGUGGAGAGAUGCAGAGCAGGCACUGACUCUGAUAUGGCUUCUCUCUUGGACCUCACACAGCAUGUGUCUUUCUCCUCCGGGGAGGCCCACACUAACAAGAUGUCGGUCGCCUGAGAAAGAGACGUUCACUUGCUGGUGGGAGCCUGGAUCAACAGGUGGACUGCCCACCAGCUACCACCUGUAUUUCAGAAAAGAGAGGUGAGUGCAGCCUACAUCGCUAUUCAGCAUUGUUCAGCUUGCUGUCAAAAAAGUAUAUUUCCAUUCUUUUUUCCCUGUAUCAGAAUAUGGGUAGUUGCCUCAUUAGCCGGGUUUCCAUCCAAAAU